AGUAGGACGCACAGUUUAUACCGUAGCUUGCUACACCAUAGACUGUGAGUUGCGAACGGGUGAGUAACGCGUAGGUAACCUGCCUAUUAGAGGGGGAUAACUAUUGGAAACGAUAGCUAAUACCGCAUAACAGUAUGUAACACAUGUUAGAUGCUUGAAAGAUGCAAUUGCAUCGCUAGUAGAUGGACCUGCGUUGUAUUAGCUAGUAGGUAGGGUAAUGGCCUACCUAGGCGACGAUACAUAGCCGACCUGAGAGGGUGAUCGGCCACACUGGGACUGAGACACGGCCCAGACUCCUACGGGAGGCAGCAGUAGGGAAUCUUCGGCAAUGGGGGGAACCCUGACCGAGCAACGCCGCGUGAGUGAAGAAGGUUUUCGGAUCGUAAAGCUCUGUUGUUAAGGAAGAACGAGUGUGAGAAUGGAAAGUUCAUACUGUGACGGUACUUAACCAGAAAGGGACGGCUAACUACGUGCCAGCAGCCGCGGUAAUACGUAGGUCCCGAGCGUUGUCCGGAUUUAUUGGGCGUAAAGCGAGCGCAGGCGGUUAGAAAAGUCUGAAGUGAAAGGCAGUGGCUCAACCAUUGUAGGCUUUGGAAACUGUUUAACUUGAGUGCAGAAGGGGAGAGUGGAAUUCCAUGUGUAGCGGUGAAAUGCGUAGAUAUAUGGAGGAACACCGGUGGCGAAAGCGGCUCUCUGGUCUGUAACUGACGCUGAAGCUCGAAAGCGUGGGGAGCGAACAGGAUUAGAUACCCUGGUAGUC
rnacentral:rRNA from 1 species